rnacentral:rRNA from 1 species
AUACGUAGGGUGCGAGCGUUAAUCGGAAUUACUGGGCGUAAAGCGUGCGCAGGCGGUUUCGUAAGACAGAGGUGAAAUCCCCGGGCUCAACCUGGGAACUGCCUUUGUGACUGCGAAGCUAGAGUACGGCAGAGGGGGGUGGAAUUCCACGUGUAGCAGCGAAAUGCGUAGAGAUGUGGAGGAACACCGAUGGCGAAGGCAGCCCCCUGGGCCGAUACUGACGCUCAUGCACGAAAGCGUGGUUAGCAAACAGGAUUAGAUACCCUGGUAGUCCACGCCCUAAACGAUGUCAACUAGGUGUUGGGUGGGUAAAACCAUUUAGUACCGUAGCUAACGCGUGAAGUUGACCGCCUGGGGAGUACGGCCGCAAGGUUAAA